UAACACAAUAAGAAUAACGAGGUUCUAUACAGGGUGGUACCGGUACUGAGUCAGUGUGGAGGUUAUAUACAGGGGGUACCGGUACUGAGUCAGUGUGGAGGUUAUAUACAGGGGGUACCGGUACUGAGUCAGUGUGGAGGUUAUAUACAGGGGGUACCGGUACUGAGUCAGUGUGGAGGUUAUAUACAGGGGGUACCGGUACUGAGUCAGUGUGGAGGUUAUAUACAGGGGGUACCGGUACUGAGUCAGUGUGGAGGUUAUAUACAGGGGGUACCGGUACUGAGUCAGUGUGGAGGUUAUAUACAGGGGGUACCGGUACUGAGUCAGUGUGGAGGUUAUAUACAGGGGGUACCGGUACUGAGUCAGUGUGGAGGUUAUAUACAGGGGGUACCGGUACUGAGUCAGUGUGGAGGUUAUAUACAGGGGGUACCGGUACUGAGUCAGUGUGGAGGUUAUAUACAGGGGGUACCGGUACUGAGUCAGUGUGGAGGUUAUAUACAGGGGGUACCGGUACUGAGUCCAUGUGGAGGUUAUAUACAGGGGGUACCGGUACUGAGUCAGUGUGGAGGUUAUAUACAGGGGGUACCGGUACUGAGUCAGUGUGGAGGUUAUAUACAGGGGGUACCGGUACUGAGUCAGUGUGGAGGUUAUAUACAGGGGGUACCGGUACUGAGUCAGUGUGGAGGUUAUAUACAGGGGGUACCGGUACUGAGUCAGUGUGGAGGCUAUAUACAGCGGGUACCGGUACCGAGUCAGUGUGGAGGUUAUAUACAGGGGGUACCAGUACUGACUGAGUCAGUGUGGAGGCUAUAUACAGGGGGCACCGGUACUGAGUCAGUGUGGAGGUUAUAUACAGGGGGUACCGGUACUGAGUCAGUGUGGAGGUUAUAUACAGGGGGUACCAGUACUGAGUCAGU